rnacentral:rRNA from 1 species
AGAGUUUGAUCCUGGCUCAGGAUGAACGCUAGCUACAGGCUUAACACAUGCAAGUCGAGGGGCAGCGUGUACAGAUGCUUGCAUCAGUAUGACGGCGACCGGCGCACGGGUGAGUAACGCGUAUCCAACCUUCCCCCUACUCAGGCAUAGCCCGGUGAAAACCGGAUUAACUCCUGAUAGUUUCACUAGAUGGCAUCUGACGGUGAAUAAAGCUGUGCGGUAAGGGAUGGGGAUGCGUCUGAUUAGCUUGUUGGCGGGGUAACGGCCCACCAAGGCUACGAUCAGUAGGGGUUCUGAGAGGAAGGUCCCCCACAUUGGAACUGAGACACGGUCCAAACUCCUACGGGAGGCAGCAGUGAGGAAUAUUGGUCAAUGGGCGCGAGCCUGAACCAGCCAAGUAGCGUGCAGGAAGACGGCCCUAUGGGUUGUAAACUGCUUUUGUGCGGGAAUAAAGUCAGGGACGUGUCCCUGUUUGCAUGUACCGCAAGAAUAAGGACCGGCUAAUUCCGUGCCAGCAGCCGCGGUAAUACGGAAGGUCCGGGCGUUAUCCGGAUUUAUUGGGUUUAAAGGGAGCGUAGGCCGUCGUUUAAGCGUGUUGUGAAAUGUAGGCGCCCAACGUCUGCACUGCAGCGCGAACUGGAUGACUUGAGUACGCGGGAAGCAGGCGGAAUUCGUCGUGUAGCGGUGAAAUGCUUAGAUAUGACGAAGAACUCCGAUUGCGAAGGCAGCCUGCUGUAGCGCCACUGACGCUGAUGCUCGAAAGCGUGGGUAUCGAACAGGAUUAGAUACCCUGGUAGUCCACGCGGUAAACGAUGGAUGCUCGCUGUGUGCCUAUGAGGUACGUGGCCAAGGGAAACCAUUAAGCAUCCCACCUGGGGAGUACGCCGGCAACGGUNAAACUCAAAGGAAUUGACGGGGGCCCGCACAAGCGGAGGAACAUGUGGUUUAAUUCGAUGAUACGCGAGGAACCUUACCCGGGCUUGAACUGCAGCAGACGGAUUCAGAGAUGAUGACNCUUCGGGGCUGCUGUGGAGGUGCUGCAUGGUUGUCGUCAGCUCGUGC